AGGCCCAAUAUGUGUGUCUAACAAACUGACCAAAAGUUCUCUACCGGCCCAGACAACUUUACAGCCCACAGCCCAUGAUAUGUCGGCCGCUUUUCUCACUUUGUUCGCCUUCAAGGCUUCAAAAGACAAUGUUCGACUCGAAAGAAAAAGAAAUAUCCUCACUCUGUUUUGAUGGAGAAUCGACACGUUCUCCCCCUUGGAAGUUGGGAAAGCUUAGUCUCUCGAAAAAAAAAAUCCAUUCGGGCUUUGUCACGCAUGCAUACGCCGAUUUACGUUGGAAGGAGAAUGUUGUGGUUACGGUACCUGUUCUUUCUUAUGUAUCCCGACGCUCGUCGUCAUGGCAAGCCGGCGACACCAAAAUCCGUCCACCCCCCAAGAUGCUACGCGGCAAAGUUAAAAAUAGUUGCAAAAUGUUGGGA
rnacentral:lncRNA from 1 species